rnacentral:lncRNA from 1 species
AUGUUUCUCUGGUUUGGAAACGAAUCUCCUCGUCGCUGUAAAGUGUUCUCGCGGGGUGGGACAGGGAGAGGAGAACUGCGAGGGGGAAGCAGAGACAGAGAGCGGGGAGGGCAAGGGUCGCCUUCCCCGGGGCCCGCUCCCCUCGGGAGCGCGCCUUUCCCAGACUCGCACCUCCAAGGUCAGGACGCCGUGGUUCCACAUAAGCGGCUGGCGGUCACCACUUCUUUCAGGUCACUCUCGGGUUUCCCGGCCACCAUAAAGGGCCACGUCUGCAGGAGAGAAGAGGGUGGAGGAGCCCCGACCAUCUUUCCUGGAGAAGAAGAAAAUUCAAGGAGUAAGUAGAAAAGCAAGGGGACCAGAAAUCGAGUGAUUGAACGACAUCGAUGAAAUGAAACCAGAGACACAGAAGGCAUGGAUCUCUCUUGCUAGUUCUUCUCCAGGUUUUCUUUCCUUGGAAUUAGGCACUGAAGUUGAGGGGCUGGAGCAGAAUGUAAGAGCGGAUUCUGAGCUUUUGCCUGGGAAUCUGUACCCCUCUGCUAAACUGAGAUACCGUAUCUCUAAUCCUGGGCUCAGUUGGGAAUUCACUAACCUCUAACGUUUUGUUUUGUUAGCAAGGUCUUGUUUGCUUUCCCCCUAUGCUGUAAACUAAACAGAUUGUCAGCAAAUCAGCCUUUAUUAAUGAAUUAGGGAGACCCCCCCCAUAAUAUCUUUGCCCAGGAUCCAAAAUUUGUUAAUCACCAGUGUAGAGAUUUAUGAGCUCUCUUAUUUUCUGUUGUUUGUGCAGGUGGAGAUUUAAAUGACCAUAUCCACUACCAAGAUUUAUUACGAGAGUGAUUGAUGUUAUAAACCAGGAAAAGGACUCUUCCCACAGCAGGGAUGAUAGAAAUAUCAAGUUGAAGUUGCCUUUGUCUUCAUGCACAAAUGACCCAGCCCUACAACACAGAAAGUAUAAUAAUUUAAUCUGAGAUCCAAGACAGCAUUAAGAGAACACUCAACAGGCCUGUUAAAUGUUUCCCCUCUGAUUCCCAAACUAGAUUUCUUUGAUUUACCCUCCCUUUUCUCAGUCUUGGUAAGACAUGAAAGUUAAAAGUUAUUUUUAGACUAAAAGAGCUAUGUGAAAAUGGGCAUUGACCAAUACUUUGUGAAACAUGUGUAUAUAUGUGUGUGUGUGUGUGUAGAUACUGAGAUAUAUGCAAAAUAACCACAGAUUAUUUAUUUGGGCUCUGGAAUGGGAUGAUAAUUAAGAAUUUGAACUAUGGAUUUACCACAUACAAGGCUAGUAAGCUCAGAAGAUUUUACUUGGAGUCCUUUUCUUACUGGAGGGAGAGGGUCUGGUUUUCUGCUUCACUUCAGCUGGUAAACUACUGAGACUGUUUGUGGGAUAAUAACAAUCAUAGUGAUAUAUACAACUGAAUAGAUUUCUGCUGUCUGAUUUUCUAAGUCUGAAAGUGUGCAAUAAAUAUCAAUUUCUUAAAAACA